AUGCCUAGGUGGAUAACCCCGGGAAAACUGGGGAUAAUACUCCAUAGAUUAUAGAUACUCGAAUGUUUUAUAGUCGAAAGCUCCGGCGCCUUAGGAUGGAUCUGCGGCCGAUUAGGUUGUUGUUGGGGUAACGGCCCAACAAGCCUGUAAUCGGUACGGGUUGUGGGAGCAAGAGCCCGGAGAUGGAAUCUGAGACACGAUUCCAGGCCCUACGGGGCGCAGCAGGCGCGAAAACUUUACAAUGCAGGAAACUGUGAUAAGGGAACCCCGAGUGCCCGUAUAUGCGGGCUGUCCAGGUGUGUAAAAAGCAUCUGAAGAAAGGGCCGGGCAAGACCGGUGCCAGCCGCCGCGGUAAUACCGGCGGCUCGAGUGGUGGCCAUUUUUAUUGGGCUUAAAGCGUCCGUAGCUUGAUGUAUAAGUCUCCUGGGAAAUCUGCCGGCUUAACCGGUGGGCGUCCGGGAGAUACUGUUGAUCUAGGGACCGGGAGAGGUGAGAGGUACUCCGGGGGUAGGAGUGAAAUCCUGUAAUCCCCGGGGGACCACCUGUGGCGAAGGCGUCUCACCAGAACGGCUCCGACAGUGAGGGACGAAAGCUGGGGGAGCGAACCGGAUUAGAUACCCGGGUAGUCCCAGCCGUAAACGAUGCGCGUUAGGUGUGCCGGUGACCACGAGUUACCGGGGUGCCGAAGGGAAACCGUGAAACGUGCCGCCUGGGAAGUACGGUCGCAGCG
rnacentral:rRNA from 1 species